rnacentral:rRNA from 1 species
UACGGGGGGGCAAGCGUUGUUCGGAAUUACUGGGCGAAAGGGCUCGUAGGCUGCCAACUAAGUCGGACGUGAAAAUCCCCUCGGCUUAACCGGGGGAACUGCAUCUGAUACUGGAUGGCUUGAGAUUGGGAGAGGGAUGCGGAAUUCCAGGCGUAGCGGUGAAAUGCGUAGAUAUCUGGAGGAACACCGGUGGCGAAGGCGGCAUCCUGGACCAACACUGACGCUGAGGAGCGAAAAGCCAGGG